GACCUAGGGGCCGAACGUUAUCCGGAAUUAUUGGGCGUAAAGGAUGCGUAGAUGGUUCGAUAAGUUACUGGUGGGAAAUCGAGGCCCAACCUCGUGGAAGCUGGUAAUACUGUCGAGCUUGAGUGCAGGAGAGGUUAACGGAACUUUAUGUGGAGCGGUAAAAUGCGUAGAUAUAUGAAAGAACACCGAUAUAGCGAAGGCAGUUAACUAUUCUGCUACUGACAUUGAGGCAUGAAAGCGUGGGGAGCAAAACGG
rnacentral:rRNA from 1 species